rnacentral:rRNA from 1 species
UCAGGAUGAACGCUGGCGGCGUGCCUAACACAUGCAAGUCGAACGGAGUACAGACGCUGUGAGAGGAAGUGCUUGCACAGACUGAACUGUUGUACUAGUGGCGGACGGGUGAGUAACGCGUGGAAAACCUGCCUCAUACAGGGGGAUAACAGGGAGAAAUUCCUGCUAAUACCGCAUAAGCGCACGGAACCGCAUGGUUCAGUGUGAAAAGAUUUAUCGGUAUGAGAUGGUUCCGCGUCUGAUUAGCCGGUUGGCGGGGUAACGGCCCACCAAAGCAGCGAUCAGUAGCCGGCCUGAGAGGGCGGACGGCCACAUUGGGACUGAGACACGGCCCAGACUCCUACGGGAGGCAGCAGUGGGGGAUAUUGCACAAUGGGGGAAACCCUGAUGCAGCGACGCCGCGUGGGUGAAGAAGUAUUUCGGUAUGUAAAGCCCUAUCAGCAGGGAAGAUGAUGACGGUACCUGACUAAGAAGCCCCGGCUAACUACGUGCCAGCCGCCGC